AUGACCACAUUACACAAAAAUCUCCAGCCUUUCCCAUUGUUUCUUUCCCACUUACUUCUGUGCUUUCAGUGCAGGCAACCAGCGUUAAAUACAAUUAUUUGGGAGUAAGUAAGAACAUUUUAUUCCCAAAGCUAUCUGACUUAUGUUGCAUUAAAAUAAAUACCUAAAUUUAAGUCAAGUUAGACCCUUAAGAAUAUAAUACUUAGGAUCUCCUAAAACUGACGUGUGUGCUAUUGUCAGCUGCAAUCCUUUCUUGCCCUCUGUGCCCCACUCACACUGGCUGCCCGGGGUCCCUGGGGGCUGCUCGAGGUUUGGCUGUGCAUUCAUUAGCUCCUCAUCCCUGGCAGGGGCCUCUCUCUGCUGCCAGUCAGGAGCUUUCACUCAGUCACCCUUAACCACACACUUAAAUCCAGACCAGAUUUGUUGCUCCAGUUCCCUGUACUGGUGUAGCUCAGUAAAUAAUGAAGCGUGAUGCUGGUCAAACUUUCAAGCAGUCAAAUUAUCCUGUCGGUGUCUGGGGGCACUACAACUAUAUUUUACAAAAACCUUAACUGCGAAUAAAAUAUGGAGAAGAGCCUCAGAAAAUAGUGCUGACUGCUGUAGUAAACCAUAAGAAAAUUCAAGAAACUGGAAGAAAAACAGAUUGGAACUUGAAAAAGGGUCAAGUGGGAGAUGCUACACUUACACAGAUGUGUUCAACUCAACAAAAAGAGAACUGGAAAUGACGAUUUGAAAAUAAUUUUGAGUACAUGGAGACAGGGAAUCUACCAAAACCCAGGCCACACUUGAGUAAAGAUCAUGCUGCCACAACCAAAAAAUGAGAGACUGACAUCACCCUUGGAUGUGUGAAGCAGAGCACAGCCUGACAGAAACAUGAGAUAUCUGUUCUCAGUGUCUGUAAGACUUUAGAUGGAAUACUGAGCCUACGGAACUGAUAAUGCCAUUUCAAUAAAUACGGCAUCUCAAAGUGACAUAGAGGAGAGCAAGAAGAGGCAGGGGUCUUCAAAAGACUGCAAGAGCCAGACCUAACUUUUUUUUAUUUUAAAAAAAAGUUCAAAUAAAUGUGCACUACACUUACUGUUGCAAAAAGGAUUGGUAUUAUCCGUUUAUCAGUGACACAUCCAUCGGGGAGGAGCACAAUUCCCAGGUUUAACAUUUAAGCAAAUUGUCAGUGGACUGGAAAGAAAGAGGGAAGGCAACUUGACAACAUCCUGCUGACCCAAAACUGGAGAAGUCUGUUCUACCUUUCAAAGCUCUUGAGACACAUUUUGACUGCUGUUUCUGCUCAAAUAUAAAAUAAAUCCUAGGAGACUACCAAGAUUGGUUUCUGGCUGUGUGCAAAAGAAAAGUUAUUUCAAUGACAGAAUGCAGUGUCCACACAGGUCACUGCGAAAGGCUGGGGAAAGUGUGGUUUUGAGGGCUUUUGGGACCCAUCUGGGCAAACCUCCUACAACAUUGUCUGCUUUCAUAGUUUGCCAUUCUCUGUGAUGGAGGUCAGACCAGAGAACUCCUGGGAUCCCUCCCCACCUUUGUGACUGGGCUAAUUCUAUGGAUUCACCUUCCCUUGAGGUUACCAGCCUUGGAGGUGACUUCUAACUGGAAGAGAAGCCCAUUUGCAAGAGGAUGCUCGAUGGGUCAGUGGGUACCACGAGGGCCCUGUCUGAGGUAAGUAUUUCAGGAACAGCCAUCUCUGCCCUCAGGUGUGUCCAGGCAGAGACUUGUCUGGACACAAGGCAGUGACCAGAGGCUGCCUUCAAGCUUGGAGGCUCUCCAAGGCCAC